UACGAAGGGGGCUAGCGUUGCUCGGAAUCACUGGGCGUAAAGGGCGCGUAGGCGGAUGAUUAAGUCGGGGGUGAAAGCCCAGGGCUCAACCCUGGAAUUGCCUUCGAUACUGAUCAUCUCGAGGACGGAAGAGGUAAGUGGAACUCCGAGUGUAGAGGUGAAAUUCGUAGAUAUUCGGAAGAACACCAGUGGCGAAGGCGACUUACUGGUCCGUUUCUGACGCUGAGGCGCGAAAGCGUGGGGAUCAAACAGGAUUAGAUACCCUGGUAGUCCACGCCGUAAACGAUGAAUGCCAGCCGUUGGGCAGCUUGCUGUUCAGUGGCGCAGCUAACGCUUUAAGCAUUCCGCCUGGGGAGUACGGUCGCAAGAUUAAA
rnacentral:rRNA from 1 species